CCUCUAAGCAUUCGUACAUGAAUCCAUAGUGUACGAAGGAGACACCAGGUGAACUGAAACAUCUAAGUAACCUGAGGAAAAGAAAGAAAAGAAUCGAUUUCCUAAGUAGCGGCGAGCGAACGGGAAAGAGCCCGACUGAAGUCAAUGAAUUCCGAAGGCGUAGAAGAAUCCUCUGGGAAGAGGAGCCGAAGAGAGUAAAAGCCUCGUAUUCGAAAGGCGGUAGGAUCAGACUUCGACAGAGUACCACGGGGCACGUGAAACCCCGUGGGAAUAUGGGAGGACCACCUCCUAAGGCUAAAUACUACUUGGUGACCGAUAGCGAACAGUACCGUGAGGGAAAGGUGAAAAGAACCCCGGGAGGGGAGUGAAAUAGAAUCUGAAACCUAACGUCCACAAACAGAGAAAGUUCAUUAUUGGAACAAUCUCGUACUUUUUGUAGAACGGGCCAGCGAGUUAUGAUACGUAGCAAGGUUAAGGCAUCCAGUGCCGGAGCCGAAGGGAAACCGAGUCUGAACAGGGCAAAAGUUGCGUGUCAUAGACCCGAAACCGGGUGACCUAUCCAUGGGCAGAGUGAAGUUGAAGUAAAAUUCAAUGGAGGCUCGAACCUUUUAACGUUUAAAAGUUAUAGGAUGACCUGUGGAUAGGGGUGAAAAGCCAAACGAACUCGGAGAUAGCUGGUUCUCC
rnacentral:rRNA from 1 species